AAGUCGUAACAAGGUUUCCGUAGGUGAACCUGCGGAAGGAUCAUUAACAAAUUAUGUUGGGUGGUUGGUGGGGGGGGUUUGGAGUGUGUGUGUGUGUGUGGGGGGUGUAUGUAUGUAUGCCUCCCCUACACACGCAUUGCGACCUCGCCAUCAUCACCGCACACAUUGACCCGGGGCCACCAGGCUCCGAUAUUCACGCUUGUUUGUAUGACAGAGUAUAUCACGUGACAUGAAAUAUAAACAACUUUUAACAAUGGAUCUCUUGGCUCUU
rnacentral:misc_RNA from 1 species